GUUGUGAGGUUAAGCGACUAAGCGUACACGGUGGAUGCCCUGGCAGUCAGAGGCGAUGAAGGACGUGCUAAUCUGCGAUAAGCGUCGGUAAGGUGAUAUGAACCGUUAUAACCGGCGAUUUCCGAAUGGGGAAACCCAGUGUGUUUCGACACACUAUCAUUAACUGAAUCCAUAGGUUAAUGAGGCGAACCGGGGGAACUGAAACAUCUAAGUACCCCGAGGAAAAGAAAUCAACCGAGAUUCCCCCAGUAGCGGCGAGCGAACGGGGAGCAGCCCAGAGCCUGAAUCAGUGUGUGUGUUAGUGGAAGCGUCUGGAAAGGCGCGCGAUACAGGGUGACAGCCCCGUACACAAAAAUGCACAUGCUGUGAGCUCGAUGAGUAGGGCGGGACACGUGGUAUCCUGUCUGAAUAUGGGGGGACCAUCCUCCAAGGCUAAAUACUCCUGACUGACCGAUAGUGAACCAGUACCGUGAGGGAAAGGCGAAAAGAACCCCGGCGAGGGGAGUGAAAAAGAACCUGAAACCGUGUACGUACAAGCAGUGGGAGCACGCUUAGGCGUGUGACUGCGUACCUUUUGUAUAAUGGGUCAGCGACUUAUAUUCUGUAGCAAGGUUAACCGAAUAGGGGAGCCGAAGGGAAACCGAGUCUUAACUGGGCGUUAAGUUGCAGGGUAUAGACCCGAAACCCGGUGAUCUAGCCAUGGGCAGGUUGAAGGUUGGGUAACACUAACUGGAGGACCGAACCGACUAAUGUUGAAAAAUUAGCGGAUGACUUGUGGCUGGGGGUGAAAGGCCAAUCAAACCGGGAGAUAGCUGGUUCUCCCCGAAAGCUAUUUAGGUAGCGCCUCGUGAAUUCAUCUCCGGGGGUAGAGCACUGUUUCGGCAAGGGGGUCAUCCCGACUUACCAACCCGAUGCAAACUGCGAAUACCGGAGAAUGUUAUCACGGGAGACACACGGCGGGUGCUAACGUCCGUCGUGAAGAGGGAAACAACCCAGACCGCCAGCUAAGGUCCCAAAGUCAUGGUUAAGUGGGAAACGAUGUGGGAAGGCCCAGACAGCCAGGAUGUUGGCUUAGAAGCAGCCAUCAUUUAAAGAAAGCGUAAUAGCUCACUGGUCGAGUCGGCCUGCGCGGAAGAUGUAACGGGGCUAAACCAUGCACCGAAGCUGCGGCAGCGACGCUGAUGCGUUGUUGGGUAGGGGAGCGUUCUGUAAGCCUGCGAAGGUGUGCUGUGAGGCAUGCUGGAGGUAUCAGAAGUGCGAAUGCUGACAUAAGUAACGAUAAAGCGGGUGAAAAGCCCGCUCGCCGGAAGACCAAGGGUUCCUGUCCAACGUUAAUCGGGGCAGGGUGAGUCGACUCCUAAGGCGAGGCCGAAAGGCGUAGUCGAUGGGAAACAGGUUAAUAUUCCUGUACUUGGUGUUACUGCGAAGGGGGGACGGAGAAGGCUAUGUUGGCCGGGCGACGGUUGUCCCGGUUUAAGCGUGUAGGCUGGUUUUCCAGGCAAAUCCGGAAAAUCAAGGCUGAGGCGUGAUGACGAGGCACUACGGUGCUGAAGCAACAAAUGCCCUGCUUCCAGGAAAAGCCUCUAAGCAUCAGGUAACAUCAAAUCGUACCCCAAACCGACACAGGUGGUCAGGUAGAGAAUACCAAGGCGCUUGAGAGAACUCGGGUGAAGGAACUAGGCAAAAUGGUGCCGUAACUUCGGGAGAAGGCACGCUGAUAUGUAGGUGAAGUCCCUCGCGGAUGGAGCUGAAAUCAGUCGAAGAUACCAGCUGGCUGCAACUGUUUAUUAAAAACACAGCACUGUGCAAACACGAAAGUGGACGUAUACGGUGUGACGCCUGCCCGGUGCCGGAAGGUUAAUUGAUGGGGUUAGCGCAAGCGAAGCUCUUGAUCGAAGCCCCGGUAAACGGCGGCCGUAACUAUAACGGUCCUAAGGUAGCGAAAUUCCUUGUCGGGUAAGUUCCGACCUGCACGAAUGGCGUAAUGAUGGCCAGGCUGUCUCCACCCGAGACUCAGUGAAAUUGAACUCGCUGUGAAGAUGCAGUGUACCCGCGGCAAGACGGAAAGACCCCGUGAACCUUUACUAUAGCUUGACACUGAACAUUGAGCCUUGAUGUGUAGGAUAGGUGGGAGGCUUAGAAGUGUGGACGCCAGUCUGCAUGGAGCCGACCUUGAAAUACCACCCUUUAAUGUUUGAUGUUCUAACGUUGACCCGUAAUCCGGGUUGCGGACAGUGUCUGGUGGGUAGUUUGACUGGGGCGGUCUCCUCCUAAAGAGUAACGGAGGAGCACGAAGGUUGGCUAAUCCUGGUCGGACAUCAGGAGGUUAGUGCAAUGGCAUAAGCCAGCUUGACUGCGAGCGUGACGGCGCGAGCAGGUGCGAAAGCAGGUCAUAGUGAUCCGGUGGUUCUGAAUGGAAGGGCCAUCGCUCAACGGAUAAAAGGUACUCCGGGGAUAACAGGCUGAUACCGCCCAAGAGUUCAUAUCGACGGCGGUGUUUGGCACCUCGAUGUCGGCUCAUCACAUCCUGGGGCUGAAGUAGGUCCCAAGGGUAUGGCUGUUCGCCAUUUAAAGUGGUACGCGAGCUGGGUUUAGAACGUCGUGAGACAGUUCGGUCCCUAUCUGCCGUGGGCGCUGGAGAACUGAGGGGGGCUGCUCCUAGUACGAGAGGACCGGAGUGGACGCAUCACUGGUGUUCGGGUUGUCAUGCCAAUGGCACUGCCCGGUAGCUAAAUGCGGAAGAGAUAAGUGCUGAAAGCAUCUAAGCACGAAACUUGCC
rnacentral:rRNA from 1 species